rnacentral:rRNA from 1 species
CAGUAGCCGCGGGAAGACGAACCGUGCGAACGUUAUUCGGAAUCACUGGACUUAAAGCGCGUGUAGGCGGGAGGGCACGUCCGUCGCUGAAAUCCCCCGGCUCAACCGGGGAACGGGCGCGGAUACGACUCUUCUGGAGGAACGUAGGGGGACCUGGAACUUCCGGUGGAGCGGUGAAAUGCGUUGAGAUCGGAAGGAACGCCCGUGGCGAAAGCGAGGUCCUGGACGUUUACUGACGCUGAGACGCGAAAGCCAGGGGAGCGAACGGGAUUAGAUACCCCAGUAGUCCCUGUCUCUUAUA